UCAUUUCCCACCAUAUUCAGUCCCACCACAAAACCUUCCCUUUCCCCAACAACAACAAAUCCCUCCACAACAAAAUAACCUUCUCUUUCCCCAACAACAACAAAUCCCUCCACAACAAAAUCCACUCUUUCCCCAACAACAAAUCCCUCCACAACAAAACCCACCCUUUCCCCAACAACAACAAAACCCACCACAACCCCAACAAGAAAAUGUGGUCGAAGAGGAUGGUGCAACCCAGAUGAAUGGUGGUAGAGAGCUAGUGCCGUAUCAUGAUGUUUUCCCGGAUUAUCCGAAAGAUUCUCUUGGUCGAUACAUUUUAAGGCCUAGUGGAA
rnacentral:lncRNA from 1 species